AGCCGCCUGCCCACGCGGCCCCCGGCGCCGGGCAGCCGAGCCGGGGCGGUCCCGGCAGCGCUCCUUACCGAGGCCCGCGAGAGACGGGAACCGAGAAGCCGAGGCCGAGCGGCGGCGAAGCCCGAAACUGACACGGCGGCCAUCUUGGUGCCCGUUGGCGUGGGGAGCCGUGUGCCGUGCCCGUACCACUCACAUGCAUGUGCUCGAAAACUGCUCUCUCCUUAGGCGGCUUUGUGAGUAGGCUCCACAGAGCUGGCUCUUUGUCACUGGAAUCAGAGGGGACCCACUGGGGAGCAUCCACCCUAGGCUAAUACAGGCAGCAGCAUGGCUCUGCCCUGCACGUGUACGACGUUGGACCUAGUGUCUGUCAAAAGUUGACAGAAAAGAGCAAAGAGCAAAUUCUAAUUUUACAAAAUUAUGGCAUUCUCUCACUUUGUUAUUUAUACUAUGUGGUUAUGUGCUGCGCGCAGUUCCCUAACCUUCUUUUAAAACAGCUGUGUAUGCACAAUGUCAGGUACACAUUUUUCAGUGUUAGCUUAAAGGACAACUGCUGGGUAAAGAUUCAUGCAAGCUUCCCUUUUCAGAAACGAAAAAAUCUUAAGAAACGUCAUGAAGACAGUUGAUAAAGCAACAAAGUGGUGUUUUCUGAAUGGCUUUGUUCAAUGUCUUGUGGUGAGAAAUUUCUCUUUUGAGCAAGAGGAAAUCUUUUGAUGUUUUAACAAAAUAGGUUUUUCAGUAUGAACAUGAAUUGCUUGUUACUUGAACUGUUUGGGAAGCCAAUGGAGUUUGAGGUGCUCUUGUACGAGGUAUUGUACAAACAGUUCUGUUCCUCUCAUGCAAACUGUGGAGGUCUGCCCUUCCCAGAGUUGGAUUCGCCAUACAAAUUAAUCUCUUCUCCCACCUCUUCCUGAGUGGAAGGGUGGAAAUUCAGGUACUUCAAUGCCUUAAAUUCCAAGGCUGUGGUUUUAAAUUCUGAAAAGCUAAUAAAUAUAUAAAUGUAAUUUCCAGAGAAUAAUGUGAGUAAGCAUAACAAUACUUACGCAUUGCUGAAACGACUCAGUACAUAACAGUGAAACCCAGUUGUGUUCCUAGAAAGCAGAGUGUCAGUCUGCAGUCUAUUUUGUUUCAAAAUUUGCAGUAGAUUAUUAUUGUCAGCCUUACAAAAUUAAUUGUUGUUGUUUGGUAUUUCAGAGAUGAAAACUAGCCUUUUUUCUUCUACUCUCUUUUUAUUUUCACAUCACAAGCUAACAGUUAAAUCAUCAGAAUUCUACAUACAGCAACCAACAGAUAGUAAGGGAUUGCUUUUUUGUGAAGACAGUGUACAGUUUGGCAACAGCAUUUUGUUGCGAAUCUCUUUUUUUGCUCUUUUCCUCUGGGGGUUCAUGCACUUUCACAAGAGACUAAUGCCUUUACUGAACUAUUUUCAGGCUGCCACUAAAUUAACCAGCAACAUGACAGUAUGUUCGGGCUAUACCUUCUGCUAUGUUCUCUUAGAUUCCAGUUUAUAUAAGCUCCUGAGCCACUUGUGGAGAAAAGCAUUACUAAUGUUCAGAAGAAAAUGGGAUUCUUCUGCUAACAGUUUGGAAGCAGACAGGCCGCAUUUCUGCAGCCGUAAACAGUGGUGGAACUCUUAAUUGUUCUCUGCAGGUGCCAACAAGAUAUGGGAAAAUUCUUGGAGAAGUUUAAAUUUCAAGUUAGCAUCCCAGCUACACAGCAACUCUUCAAAGGCCAUACUACUCAAGGGAUUUUGACAAGAUAUCUCUUGUGAUUAGUUUUUCAUAAGUCUAUAGGAUUAUAAACAAAUGUAUUCCCCUUCAUCCUUCCGCAACCUUUACCUUUGGUGUGCAGAAAUAAUUAAUUACCCUAUGGUUUCUUUUGCAUUGGCACUGACAUUCUUGAUGACUAAAAAAAACAAGGUUGCCAUAGGAAAUAUAAAGAAGUAACAACAUCGUGAACUAGGUAAAAUAUUAACUAUUUUGAUGAGGAGUGCAAGCAAUUUAUGCUUUCGCAUACGCUUAACUAUGUGCUGCUGUUUUCUGUCUAUGAUGCCUAUAUGACUUCUGUUAAUACAGACUCCAAAAGCCUCUGAGACAGUGAUGAUGUUUAAAACCAUACAUAUUUAUUUUAAAUUUAUAACAGAAUGCUGUAAUUAAAUGAACAAUUUAUACCA